rnacentral:rRNA from 1 species
AUUGAACGCUGGCGGCGUGCUUAACACAUGCAAGUCGAUCGGUAACGCGGGGGCAACCCUGGCGACGAGAGGCGGACGGGUGAGGAACGCUUGGGAAUCUGCCUAUCAGCGGGGGACAACACGGGGAUACUCGUGCUAAUACCGCAUACGCUCUACGGAGGAAAGCCGGGGACCGCAAGGCCUGGCACUGAUAGAUGAGCCCAAGCCGGAUUAGCUAGUUGGCGGGGUAACGGCCCACCAAGGCGACGAUCCGUAGCUGGUCUGAGAGGACGAUCAGCCACACUGGAACUGAGACACGGUCCAGACUCCUACGGGAGGCAGCAGUGGGGAAUAUUGGACGAUGGGGGAAACCCUGAUCCAGCGACGCCGCGUGGGUGAAGAAGGCCUGCGGGUUGUAAAGCCCUUUCGGUAGGGACGAAAGCUCUCGACCUAACACGUCGGGAGGUUGACUUAACCUACAGAAGAAGCACCGGCUAACUCUGUGCCAGCCGCCGCGGUAAAAC